rnacentral:rRNA from 2 species
AAACUUUCAACAACGGAUCUCUUGGUUCCCGCAUCGAUGAAGAACGCAGCGAAACGCGAUAGUUAAUGUGAAUUGCAGAAUUCAGUGAAUCAUCGAGUCUUUGAACGCACAUUGCGCCCAUUGGUAUUCCAUUGGGCAUGUCUGUUUGAGC